rnacentral:rRNA from 1 species
UACGGGGGGAGCAAGCGUUGUUCGGAUUUACUGGGCGUAAAGGGCGCGUAGGCGGCCUCCGCAAGUCGACUGUGAAAUCUCCGGGCUUAACCCGGAAAGGUCAGCCGAAACUGCGGGGCUAGAAUGCAGAAGGGGCAACUGGAAUUCUCGGUGUAGCGGUGAAAUGCGUAGAUAUCGAGAGGAACACCUGCGGCGAAGGCGGGUUGCUGGGCUGACACUGACGCUGAAGCGCGAAAGCUAGGGGAGCGAACGGG